AGGACGAAUGCUUUCUGUAGUUGGUAAAACUACCUUUCAGCAGGGACGAUUGUGACGGUACCUGCAGAAGAAGCACCGGCCAACUACGUGC
rnacentral:rRNA from 1 species